UGGUGAGAGUGAUUUGCCUGGUUAAUUCCGUUAAUGAAUGAGACCCCUGCCUGCUAAAUAGGCUGUCUAGUGAUUUUCACUGGGCGAGUCUUCUUAGAGGGACGUGCAUUCUAUUAGAUGCAGGAAGAUAGGGGCAAUAACA
rnacentral:rRNA from 1 species